rnacentral:tRNA from 2 species
GCGGUUAUCGUAUAAUGGAUAUUACUUCCGUUUUCAAAGCUGAUAAUGCGGGUUUGAUUCCCGCUGACCCUCGCCA